AGUGAACGCUGGCGGCGUGCUUAACACAUGCAAGUCGAACGAGAACGGAAUAUAGCUUGCUAUAUUUGUCAGCUAAGUGGCGCACGGGUGAGUAAUGUAUAGAUAACCUGCCCUUAAGAAAGGAAUAACAGUUGGAAACGACUGCUAAUGCCCUAUAUGCCUUUACUACAUAAGUAUGCAAGGGAAACGCUUUAGUGCUUAAGGAUGGGUCUGUAUGGUAUCAGCUUGUUGGUGAGGUAAUGGCUCACCAAGGCUAUGACGCCUAACUGGUUUGAGAGGAUGAUCAGUCACACUGGAACUGAGACACGGUCCAGACUCCUACGGGAGGCAGCAGUGGGGAAUAUUGCACAAUGGACGAAAGUCUGAUGCAGCAACGCCGCGAGGAGGAUGACACAUUUCGGUGCGUAAACUCCUUUUAUAUAGGAAGAUAAUGACGGUACUAUAUGAAUAAGCACCGGCUAACUCCGUGCCAGCAGCCGCGGUAA
rnacentral:rRNA from 1 species